rnacentral:rRNA from 1 species
UAAAUAGCCCUAUUGACUUUGGUCGAUAGCUGGCUUCUUAGAGGGACUUUUAGCUCAAGCUAAUGGAAGUACGAGGCAAUAACAGGUCUGUGAUGCCCUUAGAUGUUCUGGGCCGCACGCGCGCUACACUGACAGAGUCAGCGAGUACAUCACCUUAACCGAAAGGU